GACGAACGCUGGCGGCGUGCUUAACACAUGCAAGUCGAACGGAAAGGCCCUGCUUUUGUGGGGUGCUCGAGUGGCGAACGGGUGAGUAAAACGUGGGUAACCGGCCCUUGCCUUUGGGAUACCUUAAGGAAACUGGGGCUAAUACGGGAUAGGAGCUCCUGCGCCAGGGUGGGGGUUGGAAAGUUUCGGCGGUUGGGGAUGGACUCGCGGCUUAUCAGCUUGUUGGUGGGGUAGUGGCUUACCAAGGCUUUGACGGGUAGCCGGCCUGAGAGGGUGACCGGCCACAUUGGGACUGAGAUACGGCCCAGACUCCUACGGGAGGCAGCAGUGGGGAAUAUUGCACAAUGGGCGGAAGCCUGAUGCAGCAACGCCGCGUGCGGGAUGACGGCCUUCGGGUUGUAAACCGCUUUCGCCUGUGACGAAGCGUGAGUGACGGUAAUGGGUAAAGAAGCACCGGCUAACUACGUG
rnacentral:rRNA from 1 species